GCCGGGGUAGCUCAGCGGUAGAGCAGCUGUUUCGUAAACAGCAGGUCGUGGGUUCGAAUCCCAUCCCCGGCU
rnacentral:tRNA from 1 species